rnacentral:tRNA from 1 species
GGGGAGUUGGCUGAGCGGUUGAAGGCACCGGACUGUAAAUCCGGCAUACCACACCUUGGUUCGAAUCCAAGACGCCCCACCA